GGUUCACUGGUCGUGCUUCCUGCGGGCUGAGCGCUGCCCGUCAGCGCUCAGAUUAAGGCUGACAGCGCCCUGCCUGGCGUGGCUGGCGCGGCUC
ensembl:miRNA